UGAAGCCCAGAGAAAUGAAGUAAGUUGUCCAAGGCAAGUCAGUAGCAGAGCUUCAGCUAGAACCCAGGGAUCUGGUAACAUGGUGAAACAGAACAAGUGUUAGCCUUGGAGUCAAGAGACCCAGGUUCAAAUCCUGACAUUGACCAGCAGUGUGAUCAUGGAACCAGCUGAGCUCAGUGGAUGGAGGUCCAUCCAUCACCAGAGGACUGGUCAUUCACAGCCUUUCAUGAAGACCAUUUGCUAAGGCUCAGAGGUGUGGAGAUUAGCAGCAGAAGUGCUCACAGUGAAUGGAGAACAGAUUCCGGGAGUAUAUGGAGCAGAAUGAGGUAGAAAGAGCCCUGGAUUGGGAAGAUCUGGGUUUGACUCCCAGCUGUAUGACCUUGGGUUCACUUCAAACAGAAUCUUCCCUGAACUUUGCUCAGCUAAUUCCAUGGUCAACUGCUCCUGCACCUGUCACAACCCACCACUACGGCUCCAAGCCAGCUCCAAUCCCAACUCAAGGACUCUGGACCUUUCAUACUGGCCAGGAAGCUGAGGAACCUGGACGGAUCCAUCUUGGGGUACUCAUUCACCUAAGAUCAGGAAAAAAACAAACAGCAAAAGGGUAAAGGCCCCAUGCAAGCUUACCUAGUUAAGUCCACACUCCAGGUAGGGACUGGAGGCUGGGUUGUCAUCAUACAAGAGUAGAAAAAGAUAUGAUCUUUCCCACCUUGAACUGGAGUCACAUGUCCCACUUGGAGAGCUGAAGCUGACAGGACCUCAGUCAG